rnacentral:rRNA from 1 species
GAUGAACGCUAGCUACAGGCUUAACACAUGCAAGUCGAGGGGAAACGGCAUUGAGUGCUUGCACUCUUUGGACGUCGACCGGCGCACGGGUGAGUAACGCGUAUCCAACCUCCCCAUUACUGUGGGAUAACCUGCCGAAAGGCAGACUAAUACCGCAUAGUCUUCGAUGACGGCAUCAGAUUUGAAGUAAAGAUUUAUCGGUAAUGGAUGGGGAUGCGUCUGAUUAGCUUGUUGGCGGGGUAACGGCCCACCAAGGCGACGAUCAGUAGGGGUUCUGAGAGGAAGGUCCCCCACAUUGGAACUGAGACACGGUCCAAACUCCUACGGGAGGCAGCAGUGAGGAAUAUUGGUCAAUGGGCGCGAGCCUGAACCAGCCAAGUAGCGUGCAGGAUGACGGCCCUAUGGGUUGUAAACUGCUUUUGUAUGGGGAUAAAGUCAAUCACGUGUGAUUGUUUGCAGGUACCAUACGAAUAAGGACCGGCUAAUUCCGUGCCAGCAGCCGCGGUAAUACGGAAGGUCCGGGCGUUAUCCGGAUUUAUUGGGUUUAAAGGGAGCGUAGGCCGGAGAUUAAGUGUGUUGUGAAAUGUAGACGCUCAACGUCUGACUUGCAGCGCAUACUGGUUUCCUUGAGUACGCACAACGUUGGCGGAAUUCGUCGUGUAGCGGUGAAAUGCUUAGAUAUGACGAAGAACUCCGAUUGCGAAGGCAGCUGACGGGAGCGCAACUGACGCUUAAGCUCGAAGGUGCGGGUAUCGAACAGG